rnacentral:rRNA from 1 species
CCUACGGGAGGCUGCAGUGGGGAAUAUUGCACAAUGGGGGAAAGCCUGACCCAGCAACGCCGCGUGAAGGAAGAAGGCUUUCGGGUUGUAAACUUCUUUUGACAGGGAAGAGCAGAAGACGGUACCUGUCGAAUAAGCCACGGCUAACUACGUGCCAGCAGCCGCGGUAAUACGUAGGUGGCAAGCGUUGUCCGGAUUUACUGGGUGUAAGGGGCGUGUAGCGGGGCUGACAAGUCAGAUGUGAAAUCCGGGGGUUCAACCCCCAACCUGAUUUUAAAACGUUUGGUCUGAGGUAUGGAGAGGCAGGCGGAAUUCCUAGUGUAGCGGUGAAAUGCGUAGAUAUUAGGAGGAACACCAGUGGCGAAGGCGGCCUGCUGGACGACAACUGACGGUGAGGCGCGAAAGCGUGGGGAGCAAACAGGAUUAGAUACCCGUGUAGUC